rnacentral:rRNA from 1 species
GACGAACGCUGGCGGCGUGCUUAACACAUGCAAGUCGAACGGAAAGGCCCUGCUUUUGUUGGGUGCUCGAGUGGCGAACGGGUGAGUAACACGUGAGUAACCUGCCCUUGACUUUGGGAUAACUUCAGGAAACUGGGGCUAAUACCGGCUAGGAGCUCCUGCUGCAUGGUGGGGGUUGGAAAGUUUCGGCGGUUGGGGAUGGACUCGCGGCUUAUCAGCUUGUUGGUGGGGUAGUGGCUUACCAAGGCUUUGACGGGUAGCCGGCAUGAGAGGGUGACCGGCCACAUGGGGACUGAGAGACGGCGCAGAGUGCUACGGGAGGCAGCAGUGGGGAAUAUUGCACAAUGGGCGGAAGCGUGAUGCAGCAACGCCGCGUGCGGGAUGAAGGCCUGCGGGUUGUGAACCGCUUUGGCCUGUGACGAAGCGUCAGUGACGGUAAUGGGUAAAGAAGCACCGCCUAACUACGUG